GAUGAACGCUGGCGGCGUGCUUAACACAUGCAAGUCGAACGGAAAGGCCCAAGCUUGCUUGGGUACUCGAGUGGCGAACGGGUGAGUAACACGUGGGUGAUCUGCCCUGCACUUCGGGAUAAGCCUGGGAAACUGGGUCUAAUACCGGAUAGGACCACAUUUUGGAUGGUGUGGUGGAAAGUUUUUCGGUGUGGGAUGAGCUCGCGGCCUAUCAGCUUGUUGGUGGGGUAAUGGCCUACCAAGGCGUCGACGGGUAGCCGGCCUGAGAGGGUGUACGGCCACAUUGGGACUGAGAUACGGCCCAGACUCCUACGGGAGGCAGCAGUGGGGAAGAUUGCACAAUGGGCGCAAGCCUGAUGCAGCGACGCCGCGUGGGGGAUGACGGCCUUCGGGUUGUAAACUCCUUUCGCUAGGGACGAAGCGUUAUGUGACGGUACCUGGAGAAGAAGCACCGGCUAACUACGUG
rnacentral:rRNA from 1 species